rnacentral:rRNA from 1 species
UACGGGGGGAGCAAGCGUUGUUCGGAUUUACUGGGCGUAAAGGGCGCGUAGGCGGUCGUGACAAGUCACUUGUGAAAUCUCCGGGCUUAACUCGGAACGGUCAAGUGAUACUGUCGGACUAGAGUGCAGAAGGGGCAACUGGAAUUCUCGGUGUAGCGGUGAAAUGCGUAGAUAUCGAGAGGAACACCUGCGGCGAAGGCGGGUUGCUGGGCUGACACUGACGCUGAGGCGCGGAAAGCCAGGGGAGCGAACGGG